UACGUAGGGUGCAAGCGUUAAUCGGAAUUACUGGGCGUAAAGCGUGCGCAGACGGUUUUGUAAGUCUGAUGUGAAAUCCCCGGGCUCAACCUGGGAAUUGCAUUGGAGACUGCAAGGCUAGAAUCUGGCAGAGGGGGGUAGAAUUCCACGUGUAGCAGUGAAAUGCGUAGAGAUGUGGAGGAACACCGAUGGCGAAGGCAGCCCCCUGGGUCAAGAUUGACGCUCAUGCACGAAAGCGUGGGGAGCAAACAGG
rnacentral:rRNA from 1 species